CUUCGGAAAUGAGAGAGCGGCGUACGGGUGCGGGAACACGUGUGCAACCUGCCUUUAUCUGGGGGAUUAGCCUUUCGAAAGGAAGAUUAAUAUCCAUAAUAUAUUGAACGGCAUCGUUUAAUAUUGAAAGCUCCGGCGGAUAGAGAUGGGCACGCGCAAGAUUAGCUAGUUGGUGAGGUAACGGCUCACCAGGCAAUGAUCUUUAGGGGCCUGAGAGGGUGAUCCCCCACACUGGUACUGAGACACGGACCAGACUCCUACGGGAGGCAGCAGUGAGGAAUAUUGGUCAAUGGGUGCAAGCCUGAACCAGCCAUCCCGCGUGAAGGACGACUGCCCUAUGGGUUGUAAACUUCUUUUGUAUAGGGAUAAACCUACCCUCGUGAGGGUAGCUGAAGGUACUAUACGAAUAAGCACCGGCUAACUCCGUG
rnacentral:rRNA from 1 species